UGCUGUCAGAGCAUCGUUCAACUGUCUGCGAGUUAGUGUGCCGUCAUUUGUUCGCGAAUGGACACAAUAACAAAUUGUUCUCGGCUAGUUGCUGACAGAAUACAAAAUGAUAUCCAAGUGCUGAGAGUACCUUUCCAAAGAUGCAUGUUGUGGAAUACGAAGAACAUCCAAUAUAGAAAUUGUUGAAAAUAAAGAUCAAAAAUUUUACACAAAAUCGCGUUGAAGUUUAGCUGCUUAAUAGAGGAAGCUCGACGCAAAAUUCAUAAUUUAUGAAAUCAUAUGUCACAAGAAUUAAAAAAAAUAUAGCAAGAAGUAGAAGUGGCAUGGAUGAUAUAAAUAGGUAACAUAGCAACGGUAUUACAACCAGGAAGGGAGUGA